rnacentral:rRNA from 1 species
ACGAACGCUGGCGGCGUGCUUAACACCUGCAAGUCGAACGGUGAAGCGAGUGCUUGCACUCGUGGAUCAGUGGCGAACGGGUGAGUAACACGUGAGUAACCUGCCCAUCACUCUGGGAUAAGCACUGGAAACGGUGUCUAAUACUGGAUACGACCAACCCUUGCAUGGGGUGUUGGUGGAAAGAUUUAUCGGUGAUGGAUGGACUCGCGGCCUAUCAGCUUGUUGGCGGGGUAAUGGCCCACCAAGGCGACGACGGGUAGCCGGCCUGAGAGGGUGACCGGCCACACUGGGACUGAGACACGGCCCAGACUCCUACGGGAGGCAGCAGUGGGGAAUAUUGCACAAUGGGCGAAAGCCUGAUGCAGCGACGCCGCGUGAGGGAUGACGGCCUUCGGGUUGUAAACCUCUUUCAGCAGGGAAGAAGCGAAAGUGACGGUACCUGCAGAAGAAGCACCGGCUAACUACGUG